AGAGUUUGAUCCUGGCUCAGAUUGAACGCUGGCGGCAUGCUUUACACAUGCAAGUCGGACGGCAGCACAGAGAAGCUUGCUUCUUGGGUGGCGAGUGGCGAACGGGUGAGUAACAUAUCGGAACGUACCGAGCAGUGGGGGAUAACUAAUCGAAAGAUUAGCUAAUACCGCAUAUUUUCUGAGGAAGAAAGCAGGGGACCAUUUGGCCUUGCGCUGUUUGAGCGGCCGAUAUCUGAUUAGCUAGUUGGUGGGGUAAAGGCCUACCAAGGCGACGAUCAGUAGCGGGUCUGAGAGGAUGAUCCGCCACACUGGGACUGAGACACGGCCCAGACUCCUACGGGAGGCAGCAGUGGGGAAUUUUGGACAAUGGGCGCAAGCCUGAUCCAGCCAUGCCGCGUGUCUGAAGAAGGCCUUCGGGUUGUAAAGGACUUUUGUCAGGGAAGAAAAGGACAGGGUUAAUACCCCUGUCUGAUGACGGUACCUGAAGAAUAAGCACCGGCUAACUACGUGCCAGCAGCCGCGGUAAUACGUAGGGUGCGAGCGUUAAUCGGAAUUACUGGGCGUAAAGCGGGCGCAGACGGUUACUUAAGCAGGAUGUGAAAUCCCCGGGCUCAACCUGGGAACUGCGUUCUGAACUGGGUGACUAGAGUGUGUCAGAGGGAGGUAGAAUUCCACGUGUAGCAGUGAAAUGCGUAGAGAUGUGGAGGAAUACCGAUGGCGAAGGCAGCCUCCUGGGAUAACACUGACGUUCAUGCCCGAAAGCGUGGGUAGCAAACAGGAUUAGAUACCCUGGUAGUCCACGCCCUAAACGAUGU
rnacentral:rRNA from 1 species